rnacentral:lncRNA from 1 species
AUGAGAGGUGGAACAACCCACAAAGAUGCUCCAAAAUAGAAUAAUCCAAGUCGAUGAUCAGAGGAAUGUUGAAAAACCUGAAACAAACAUAAAAAAAGAAGAAAAGAGCACAGUACGGACAUCAACCACCACAAGCACAAGUGCUUAAUAGGAUGGAAACAAUUCCACAUCAUCACAAUAGAGUAUAUCAUGAAAGAAAAAGAAAAAAACAAAAAUCAAACACUGAAUGUCCUGAAAAGUCACAAAUAAUUCACAAUGACUAAAUCACAAAUUAAACUUUUUUGGGUGAUCUUUCAGUAAAAAGCAUUAAUUUCGGGGUGAUCACCUGAUAAGCAGACGAGGCCGUGCUGAAGACGAACCCCACCGGGAAAAUACUCCGAUUGAACGCCGUCGUUUGGCCGGUGCCAGUGUGAGAAGAGAGGUUAAAACUUGAUGAGCCGACGGCCAAGAGGGUGAAAAUGGUUG